rnacentral:rRNA from 1 species
UGGGGAAUAUUGCACAAUGGGCGCAAGCCUGAUGCAGCCAUGCCGCGUGUGUGAAGAAGGCCUUCGGGUUGUAAAGCACUUUCAGCGAGGAGGAAGGGUAGUGUGUUAAUAGCACAUUGCAUUGACGUUACUCGCAGAAGAAGCACCGGCUAACUCCGUGCCAGCAGCCGCGGUAAUACGGAGGGUGCAAGCGUUAAUCGGAAUUACUGGGCGUAAAGCGCACGCAGGCGGUUUGUUAAGUCAGAUGUGAAAUCCCCGCGCUUAACGUGGGAACUGCAUUUGAAACUGGCAAGCUAGAGUCAUGUAGAGGGGGGUAGAAUUCCAGGUGUAGCGGUGAAAUGCGUAGAGAUCUGGAGGAAUACCGGUGGCGAAGGCGGCCCCCUGGACAAAGACUGACGCUCAGGUGCGAAAGCGUGGGGAGCAAACA